rnacentral:rRNA from 1 species
UGGGGAAUAUUGCACAAUGGGCGAAAGCCUGAUGCAGCAACGCCGCGUGAGCGAUGAAGGCCUUUGGGUCGUAAAGCUCUGUCCUUGGGGAAGAAAAAAAUGACGGUACCCAAGGAGGAAGCCCCGGCUAACUACGUG